AGUGACAGGCAGCAUACAGCCCCAGUUUGCUCAGCCUGUGCCUGAGAUGCUGUGCCGGGUGAUGGCUAUAAUUCAACAUCCUCUCCCUGUCAGGCAAACUGGAAGCUGCGCGGCUCUGUUUUAGGGAUGGUACCCUGUCAGUCUCCAGGCCCUCUUCUCAGACCUGUGUCUGCGGCAUCAAGCCCACACACCUUCUGUUAUUUCCAGCGCUGGAUCAGUCUCACCUCUGCAUGGCAUGCUGAUAUUUUUGUAAGUCUCGAGCAUGAUUAGCUGCUGUAAUUAGGCUUUCACAUGCAAAAAAAAAAAAUGGAAGGAACAGCAGGGAUUUUUAUAAGCGCCCAAGAGACAAUCAGACGACUUGAAUUGUGGCAAUAUGGAUGCAUUAUGGGAAAAAAUUAUAAGAAACUCGUAGCCACACCCUUCAGACCUUCUUCCGUUAAGGUCAGGAAGAAGAGUCAGGAGGGUCUUCUUCAGUAUUGCCUCAAUCACGGCUCAAAGAGAAGUGCAACUUUUGCAACAAUCUCGUGCAACUUCAAGUUUUGUGGUCAGCAUUGAUGUUUCCCUAUGUUUGCUUGUUUUCUUCCCCUUCCAUACUCUUAAUAUUUCAACAAUUCUCUCAGCAAAUCAUUCCUGAGCAAACCAUCGAAGAGGAUGCAGAGCUGGUCAGAGCAAAUAAAUAAAUAAAUGAAUGAAAGUAAAACAAAAAAAAAGAAGGAAAACUAAAUAAAAGAUUACUCCUUCCAUUUUGCAGCAGGGUUACUAAAUGGAAAGACAGAAUAUUACCAAUGAAAUAGCUCUGCUUGGAGACAACAUUGGAGAAAAGAGUGUGGGGAGAGCUUGAAAAAAAAAA